rnacentral:rRNA from 1 species
CUCUAGAGGAGCCUGUUCCAUAAUCGAUAAACCCCGAUCCACCUCACCCUCUCUUGCUUAGCCUAUAUACCGCCAUCUUCAGCAAACCCUGAUAAAGGUUACAAAGUGAGCACAAACGCCCUACCGCCGCAAAAACGUUAGGUCAAGGUGUAGCCCAUGAGAGGGUAAAAAUGGGCUACAUUUUCUACAUCAGAAAACCCCCACGAAAACUCUUAUGAAACCUGAGAGUCCAAGGAGGAUUUAGCAGUAAAUUAAGAAUAGAGUGCUUAAUUGAACCAGGCCAUAAAGCGCGUACACACCGCCCGUCACUCCCCUCAAAUGUACUUAAAGGACAUCUUAACUAAACACCCUAACAUUUACAUAGAGGGGAUAAGUCGUAACAUGGUAAGUGUACUGGAAGGUGCACUUGGAU